rnacentral:rRNA from 1 species
GACAGAGGUGCCAAGCGUUAGGCGGAAUCACUGGGCUUAAAGCGUGUGUAGGCGGGUGCCUAAGUACCUUGUGAAAUCCCACGGCUCAACCGUGGAACUGCUCGGUAUACUGGGUGCCUUGAGCCACUUAGGGGCUACCGGAACAAAUGGUGGAGCGGUGAAAUGCGUAGAUAUCAUUUGGAACGCCAAUGGUGAAAACAGGUAGCUGGGAGUGUGCUGACGCUGAGACACGAAAGCCAGGGGAGCGAACGGG